CCCGUGUCAGCAGAUUCUUAACCACUUGAGCCACUAGGGAAGUCCCUGUAUCAUUUCUUAAUAAAUAAAAAUACUAUUACUAUAAUAACUAACAACUAUUGAGGCAUAAUUCAUGCCAGGCAUUUUAUUUAUUUUAUCUGCAUUUGUUUCUCAAGACAAAUUUUGUACUCUUAUAUCUCUAUUUUAUAGAUGAGGAAGUGAUUCUUGGAAAAGUUUGGUGCCUGGCAUCUUCCAACACAUCUGGGAUGCUCGUUCGAACUUCUACAUCCAUUAGAUUCCUUCAGAUUCUUAAAGGCAUCGCCCUUUUGUUUCCCAGCAUUGGCUGUUGCUUCGGAGAAGUCUGAUGCCACUUGGUUCCUGAUAACCUGGUUUCAGAGGUUUUAUUUUGUUUGUUUGCUUUUUAAUGUCACUGUUUUAGUCACUUGAGAGGCCCAUUCAUAUGGAAACUAAUAGUUUUCUGUCUGGGGACAUUUCCCUAAAUUAUGUCUUUGUUGAUUUCCUCCCUUCCUCCUUUUCAUUCUCUCUUUAAUUCUCAGUUUCUCUCUGUCUCUCUCUUCCCCAUCCUCCCUCAUCUUAUUCUUCUUUGUUUGUGGAGGGCGGGGGGAAGGCAGGGGUGACAAUUACCUUCUUUUUGUGUUGAAUUUACAAAUUCUCUAAUUUUCUUUUAUUUACUUUGCUAUUAAAAAAAAUCUCAUUGUCUUUUUUUUUUUUUUAGAUUAGU